GUCUGGACAAAAAUUUCAUCACAGCUUGAAAGAGCAUCACAAAAUUAGUAAUAUUCCGAAGCUUCGUUGCGAAAUGUUGUAAAAUGCGGAUAAUAUAGCCUUGCGAAGUUUGCCGUUUUUCAGUCAUUUCGCAUUACAAACGGGCCGUGAUAAUCAGUUUGAUCAUCUGAUUAUCAAUUUCCCGUUUGUAAUGCAAAAUGACUGAAAAACGGCAAACUUCGCAAGGCUAUAUUAUCCGCAUUUUACA
rnacentral:lncRNA from 1 species